AUCCAGCUACCGACGUGUCCCAAACAGGACGAAACUCGCGUUCUGGAU
rfam:Schistosoma mattheei strain Denwood, Zambia genome assembly, scaffold: SMTD_scaffold0011903